rnacentral:rRNA from 1 species
AUUGAACGCUGGCGGCAGGCCUAACACAUGCAAGUCGAGCGGUAGAGAGGUGCUUGCAUCUCUUGAGAGCGGCGGACGGGUGAGUAAUGCCUAGGAAUCUGCCUAGUGGUGGGGGAUAACGUUCGGAAACGGACGCUAAUACCGCAUACGUCCUACGGGAGAAAGCGGGGGGAUCUUCGGACCUCGCGCCAUUAGAUGAGCCUAGGUCGGAUUAGCUAGUUGGUGAGGUAAUGGCUCACCAAGGCGACGAUCCGUAACUGGUCUGAGAGGAUGAUCAGUCACACUGGAACUGAGACACGGUCCAGACUCCUACGGGAGGCAGCAGUGGGGAAUAUUGGACAAUGGGCGAAAGCCUGAUCCAGCCAUGCCGCGUGUGUGAAGAAGGUCUUCGGAUUGUAAAGCACUUUAAGUUGGGAGGAAGGGUAGUAACCUAAUACGUUGCUACUUUGACGUUACCGACAGAAUAAGCACCGGCUAACUUCGU